rnacentral:rRNA from 1 species
AGCGAACGCUGGCGGCAGGCUUAACACAUGCAAGUCGAGCGGGCGUAGCAAUACGUCAGCGGCAGACGGGUGAGUAACGCGUGGGAACGUACCUUUUGGUUCGGAACAACACAGGGAAACUUGUGCUAAUACCGGAUAAGCCCUUACGGGGAAAGAUUUAUCGCCGAAAGAUCGGCCCGCGCCUGAUUAGCUAGUUGGUGAGGUAACGGCUCACCAAGGCGACGAUCAGUAGCUGGUCUGAGAGGAUGAUCAGCCACAUUGGGACUGAGACACGGCCCAACUCCUACGGGAGGCAGCAGUGGGGAAUAUUGGACAAUGGGCGCAAGCCUGAUCCAGCCAUGCCGCGUGAGUGAUAAAGGCCCUAGGGUUGUAAAGCUCUUUUGUGCGGGAAGAUAAUGACGGUACCGCAAGAAUAAGCCCCGGCUAACUUCGUGCCAGCCGCCGCCGUAA